GGGGCUCACGCUGCCUCACAUAGACUAGAAUUGGAACGAUGCAGAGAUCAGCAUGGCCCCUGUGCAAGGACGACACGCAAAUUCAUGCAGUGUUCCGUAUUUUU
rfam:Tupaia chinensis contig94856, whole genome shotgun sequence.